CCCCGAUUGAUUCUGUCGGCGGUUAUAUGCUUAUCUCAAAGGCUAAGCAUGCAUGUCUAAGUUCAAAUGGCCUAUAAAGGUGAAACCGCGAACGGCUCAUUACAACAGCUAUUAUAUACUUGAUCUUGAUAUCCUACGUGGAUAACUGUGGUAAUUCUAGA
rnacentral:rRNA from 1 species